GUUGAAUUAGUCUAUAUGCCCAUAAUUUCAUUUGAAAUUCUCCAAAGCUUUUUUCUGUCAUAUUUUAUAUCAUUUAUCUUAGUUUCAUAAUACAGCGUUUCUUCUUCUUUUUGUUCAGUUUAGCCACAUAAUUUCUCGGUUUGCCAAUCAGAUGUGCAGACAGAUUUAUUAGCCACUCCUUUUGCGUCAUCUCUCUCAACCACACAGUUUUUCAGUUCCUCAUCAAUCCACGGCACCUUGGCAGAUCUAACAGUUCGUUUCUUAAUAGGGUUAUGUCUAUCAAUAACUGGAAGGAGAAAUUUCAUAAAUAUUUGUAGAUCUUUAGUUGUUGUGGAGCUUUUGUCCCGAACUCAUUACGGUGUUUUAGGUGCCAAGCUUAUUAUCAUGUCGCAGCUGUGUGUAGGAGGGAAAUUCCUAGAUGUGAGAAGUGUGCAUUAGGGCAUGAGACAAAGAAAUGUGUAGUGUUGGUGGAAAUAAAUGUUGUGUGUUAACUGUAGGGCACCUUAGUGGCACCUAGUGGCACCUGUAGUGGCACCUUCAUUGGGGAGAACAGGCUCGUGGUAAUGGCUGGAGCAGAAUCAGUGGAAUGGUAUCAAAUACAUGGAAACCAUGUGUUUGAUGCCAUUCCAUUUGCUCCGUUCAAAACAUUAUUAUGAGCCGUCCUCACCUCAGCAGUGUCCACUGUUGUAGGCACUGUUGUAGGGGUACCCAUGGUGCUGGAGUUCAGAAGUGUUGGUUAUGAACUAUACCGCAGAAAUGAAACGUGAAUCACAGAAAAUAGAUGUGGUGGCAGCUGCAUAGAAGGACUUGGGUCUAUGGGAUUUUACUGCAUUAGAGUUACAAGGUGUGUUCAACAAUAGUGUUCCGUUCUCCCAGUCUUCCAGCUUGGAGUAGAAUCAGAUAGGACCAAGUAGUGGAAUAGUGGUGAGGUUUUAAUGGGUGUAGGGUUAGUUGGUAUAGUGGUGAAGUUUUAAUGGGUGUAGGGUUAGUUGGUAUAGUGGUGAGGUUUUAAUGGGUGUAGAGUUAGUUGGUAUAGUGGUGAAGUUUUAAUGGGUGUAGGGUUAGUUGGUAUAGUGGUGAGGUUUUAAUGGGUGUAGGGUUAGUUGUUAAAGUGGUGAGGUUUUAAUGGGUGUAGGGUUAGUUGGUAUAGUGUUGAGGUUUUAAUGGGUGUAGGGUUAGUUGGUAUAGUGGUGAAGUUUUAAUGGGUGUAGGGUUAGUUGGUAUAGUGGUGAGGUUUUAAUGGGUGUAGGGUUAGUUGGUAUAGUGGUGAGGUUUUAAUGGGUGUAGGGUUAGUUGGUAUAGUGGUGAGGUUUUAAUGGGUGUAGGGUUAGUUGGUAUAGUGGUGAAGUUUUAAUGGGUGUAGGGUUAGUCAGUAGGGACAUUUGUCUUCCCUUUUCCCUUUUUGUGUCACAAAGUGCAAUGAAUUCACACUCCAGAACAGUAGGUGGCGGUGUACGCAUCCCUUCAGUUGGUUGCGAUCCAACAAUACAUAUUUGAAGAAGAAGAAGAAAGUUGUGCUGACAGACUGUUCACAUGCUGUUUCCUAACCCAAGUGUUGGAACUGUUACUGGGAAUAAGAUUGGGUGCCAAAUCAGUGUGGGCUAGUUACUUUACCGUGUAAUGUGACUGUGUAAGAUUGGUUUGUUAGCUACGCUUUUACACAGCUGUUUGCCAGCUUCCUGCUAAUUCCAGCAUUGUUUGUUUGUGUGUGUCCGUGCAUGCUAUCUCGUUUUAGUAUGGUUAUCAUUGCUACAAGUGUGUUCGUUGAGCGCAACAACCCUACUUACUAGUGUGUUAUUAGCAAUGUUUGUAUUACUUGCGUGAUACCGCUGCAAUAUGUAUAGCCCAUAUGUUACUGCUAUAGUAGCUUGAUCCACUAUACAAAUUCUUGAAGAUCCCAGAAUGUUCUAGUCCUUUCUGUGCACUGGCGCAGGCUCUGUAGCCCUGUGAUAAAGAUCUCAGUCAGGCCAUAGAUUGACCCUUAAAGCUCCACGGUCUUAGAUUUCUCUCUCUUUGGCCAUGAAUAUUCUUACUGAUGUCUAGGACAUUUCUUAUUUGAUUUAACUAGGAAAGUCAGUUAAGUACAAAUUUGUAUUUACAAUGACAGCCUACCCUGGCCAAACACUAACCCGGAUGACGCUGG
rnacentral:lncRNA from 1 species